rnacentral:rRNA from 1 species
CACGUAGGGCGCAAGCGUUGUCCGGAAUUAUUGGGCGUAAAGAGCUCGUAGGCGGUCUGUUACGUCUGCUGUGAAAACCCAGGGCUUAACCCUGGGCUUGCAGUGGAUACGGGCAGACUAGAGGCAGGUAGGGGAGAAUGGAAUUCCCGGUGUAGCGGUGAAAUGCGCAGAUAUCGGGAGGAACACCGGUGGCGAAGGCGGCAUCCUGGACCAACACUGACGCUGAGGAGCGAAAGCCAGGGGAGCAAACGGG